AAAUAAUGCUACAGGUUUAGAUCUAUGGUCUGUGUUACAAUUAAACCAUUUCUAGGGACCCCUGAGUGUCAUGAGGGCCCCUGAGUGUCAUGAGGGUCCCUGAGUGUCAUGAGGGCCCCUGAAUGUCAUGAGGGCCCCUGAGUGGUUCCUGCCAGCAGCUACUGAGUUUUCUUUGCCUUGAUAUCCCAGUCUUAUAAUUCUAGAUCUCAGACGUUUAACAUCAAACAAUAGCCAGGUUUUUCUAGAGCUUAAACAGAUAUUGAGGGCUUAAUUAGUAAAAUGGCAGCAAUUUUGCUUAUUUCAUAAGUUCAUAACCAGACCUUUUCGCUGGUCUGUUUAAGAGCUUCAGUCUCAGAUCAACUCAGCAGCAGAAACAGAAACAUUAUACCUGUUGGGGAAAAUGUAAACUAUAUUUGAUUUGCAUUUGGUUACUAAAAAAUAUACCACAAAAAAUUGUGUUUUUGAACACUGCAUCUAUUGAAAUACUCUUUGAACCUCCAAGAAAAUAUG